AUACCUCAGUAACGGCGAGUGAAGCGGUAACAGCUCAAAUUUGAAAUCUGGCCGCAAGGUCCGAGUUGUAAUUUGUAGAGGAAACUUCGGGCGCGGUCCGGUCUAAGUUCAUUGGAACAUGACGUCAUAGAGGGUGAGAAUCCCGUAUGUGACUGGGUGCCGCUGUCCAUGUGAAGCUCCUUCGACGAGUCGAGUUGUUUGGGAAUGCAGCUCUAAAUGGGUGGUAUAUUUCAUCUAAAGCUAAAUAUUGGCCAGAGACCGAUAGCGCACAAGUAGAGUGAUCGAAAGAUGAAAAGCACUUUGGAAAGAGAGUUAAACAGUACGUGAAAUUGUUGAAAGGGAAGCGCUUGCAACCAGACUUGCGCCCUAGUAAUCAUCCGGUGUUCUCACCGGUGCACUUGCUAGGGCUCAGGCCAGCAUCGGUUUUGGCGGUUGGAUAAAGGCAUUGGGAAUGUAGCUUCCUUCGGGGAGUGUUAUAGCCCUUUGUGCAAUGCAGCCCGCUGGGACCGAGGACCGCGCUUCGGCUAGGAUGCUGGCGUAAUGGUUGUAAGCGACCCGUC
rnacentral:rRNA from 2 species